rnacentral:piRNA from 1 species
UGGCAGCUCAGAAGUGUCUGGCAGUG